rnacentral:lncRNA from 1 species
CCAAGUUCUUCCAUGAUCAGAGUCUGGGCCGCUGGAGGAUGAAGUUAUGAGCCGAUAUAUCUGGAAGCAGUGGUGCAGACCUCGGAAUGGACCCAUGGAACAGCUAAAGGGCUGACUGCAGCCUGCCAUCUGUGCACAACCAGAAGCAUGAGCUCUCCAGAGAUCAGAGUGAGACGGUGGAAACCGCUGCAGCAGUAGCAGGAUCGCAUGUGUCUAGUGAGUCUGAAUAAACCGAUGCUUGUCGUCAUUAUUGAAACUACAUGAUCUG